ensembl:lncRNA LSP1P5 LSP1 pseudogene 5
ACGGGAGACCUCAGGCCCAGACUCCACUCCCCAGCUGUGAAAGGACUGCUGGCCAGACCCCCAAGCUAGCCCGCCAGGCCUCCAUAGAGCUGCCCAGCAUGGCUGCGUCCAGUACCAAGAGUUGGUGGGAGACGGGUGAAGUACAGGCUCAGUCUGCGGCCAAGACUCCAUCCUGCAAGGAUAUUGUGGCUGGAGACAUGAGCAAGAAAAGCCUCUGGGAGCAGAAGGGAGGCUCCAAGACCUCAUCAACAAUUAAGAUGUGAUGCCUGGUGCAGCUGCAGCCAUCUCAUGACCAUGUCGCAACAAACACCACACGACCCAAGUGACAAGAUGAACAGUGCCUGGAUGCCUGAUGACACGGUUCAGCUGCCAGGCCAACCCCAAGCAGCCAACCUCUGGAAUUCUCAGGAGAUAAUUAAACAUUGUUAAGAC